rnacentral:misc_RNA from 1 species
UUUCUUUGCAGGGGGCAAAAAUCAUGGUAGAAAGGCAUCAACUUAUCCAGGUCCCGGAGAGGUAAUAGACGAUUAUUCCCACGUUCGAUCUACAUUCCAGUACUGGGACAAGCAAAGUACAUCGCCAGAUUGUAAAUGCUUCCACAAUUAGCAAGUUGUUGAAGCCACAUCGACAGUUGAUGGUUUUGCAGGUUUUUCUGCAGUAGA